GCCAGGCGUGGUGGCGCGUGCUUGUAGUCCCAGUUAUUCGGGAGGCUGAGGCAGGAGAAUCACUUGAACCCAGGAGGCAGAGGUUGCAGUGAGCCAAGAUCGCGCCACUGCACUCCAGCCUGGGUGACAUAGUGAGAUUCUGUCUCAA
rnacentral:SRP_RNA from 1 species